AGAGAAUAGAUACCCUGGUAGUCCACGCCGUAAACUAUGGAUGCUAGCUGUUAUGAGUAUCGACCCUCGUAGUAGCGUAGCUAACGCGUUAAGCAUCCCGCCUGUGGAGUACGGUCGCAAAGACUAAAACAUAAAGGGAAUUGACGGGGACCCGCACAAGCGGUGGAGCGUGUUGUUUAAUUCGAUGGUAAGCGAAGAACCUUACCCAGGCUUGACAUCCUGCCAAGGUCUCCGAAAGGAGAUUGUGCCUUCGGGCCGCAGUGACAGGUGAUGCAUGGCCGUCGUCAGCUCGUGUCGUGAGAUGUUUGGUUAAGUCCAUCAACGAGCG
rnacentral:rRNA from 1 species